AGUGAACGCUGGCGGCAGGCCUAACACAUGCAAGUCGAACGAGCGGCGGACGGGUGAGGAAUACCUAGGAAACUGCUCGAUCGAGGGGGAUAACUACGGGAAACGUUCGCUAAUACCGCAUACCAUUAGAUGUGCCCAGGUUGGCGUAGCUAGUUGGUGGGGUAACGGCUCACCUAGGCGAAGAUCCGUAGCUGGUCUGCGAGGAUGAUCAGCCACACGGGAACUGAGACACGGUCCAGACUCAUACGGGAGGCAGCAGUGGGGAAUAUUGGACAAUGGGCGCAAGCCUGAUCCAGCAAGGCCGCGUGGGUGAAGAAGGCCUUCGGGUUGUAAAGCCCUUUUAUUGGGGAAGCGGUACCCAAAGAAGAAGCACCGGCUAACUCCGUGCCAGCAGCCGCGGUAAUAC
rnacentral:rRNA from 1 species